CCCUUAGAUGUUCUGGGCUGCACGCGCGCUACACUGAUGCAGUCAACGAGUAGUUCCUGGUCCGGAAGGAUCGGGUAAUCUUUUGAAUCUGCAUCGUGAUGGGGAUAGAUUAUUGCAAUUAUUAAUCUUCAACGAGGAAUUCCUAGUAAGUGCAAGUCAUCAGCUUGUACUGAUUACGUCCCUGCCCUUUGUACACACCGCCCGUCGCUACUACCGAUUGGGUGAUCCGGUGAAUUAUUUGGACUUGGCGCUUGGCAGUUCUGUCUUGCGUUGGGAAAAUUUUGUGAACCUUAUCACUUAGAGGAAGUAAAAGUCGUAACA
rnacentral:rRNA from 1 species